UAACGCGUGGGUAACCUGCCCUAUACACACGGAUAACAUACUGAAAAGUUUACUAAUACAUGAUAAUAUAUAUUUACGGCAUCGUAGAUAUAUCAAAGUGUUAGCGGUAUAGGAUGGACCCGCGUCUGAUUAGCUAGUUGGUGAGAUAACUGCCCACCAAGGCGACGAUCAGUAGCCGACCUGAGAGGGUGAUCGGCCACAUUGGAACUGAGACACGGUCCAA
rnacentral:rRNA from 1 species